GCGAGUGUGCUGAAAUUGGUAGCCAGAUGAGUCUUAGGAACUCAUGAUUCAUAAUCGUAAGAGUUCAAGUCUCUUUACUCGUA
rnacentral:tRNA from 1 species